GGGACUGUGACUCAGUGGCAGAGAAGCCGCUUGGUGUACAGAAGACUCCAGGUUCAAUCCCCGGCAUUCCCA
rnacentral:tRNA from 1 species